rnacentral:rRNA from 1 species
AUUGAACGCUGGCGGCAGGCUUAACACAUGCAAGUCGAGCGGUAGCACAAGAGAGCUUGCUCUCUGGGUGACGAGCGGCGGACGGGUGAGUAAUGUCUGGGAAACUGCCUGAUGGAGGGGGAUAACUACUGGAAACGGUAGCUAAUACCGCAUAACGUCGCAAGACCAAAGAGGGGGACCUUCGGGCCUCUUGCCAUCAGAUGUGCCCAGAUGGGAUUAGCUAGUAGGUGGGGUAAUGGCUCACCUAGGCGACGAUCCCUAGCUGGUCUGAGAGAUGACCAGCCACACUGGAACUGAGACACGGUCCAGACUCCUACGGGAGGCAGCAGUGGGGAAUAUUGCACAAUGGGCGCAAGCCUGAUGCAGCCAUGCCGCGUGUGUGAAGAAGGCCUUCGGGUUGUAAAGCACUUUCAGCGAGGAGGAAGGUGGUGAACUUAAUACGUUCAUCAAUUGACGUUACUCGCAGAAGAAGCACCGGCUAACUCCGUG